CGUAGCCGACCUGAGAGGGUGAUCGGCCACACUGGAACUGAGACACGGUCCAGACUCCUACGGGAGGCAGCAGUAGGGAAUCUUCCGCAAUGGGCGAAAGCCUGACGGAGCAACGCCGCGUGAGUGAUGAAGGUCUUCGGAUCGUAAAACUCUGUUAUUAGGGAAGAACAUACGUGUAAGUAACUAUGCACGUCUUGACGGUACCUAAUCAGAAAGCCACGGCUAACUACGUGCCAGCAGCCGCGGUAAUACGUAGGUGGCAAGCGUUAUCCGGAAUUAUUGGGCGUAAAGCGCGCGUAGGCGGUUUUUUAAGUCUGAUGUGAAAGCCCACGGCUCAACCG
rnacentral:rRNA from 1 species